GGUUUCAGCAGCCGCGGUAAUACGUAGGGUGCGAGCGUUAUCCGGAAUUAUUGGGCGUAAAGAGCUCGUAGGCGGUUUGUCGCGUCUGUCGUGAAAGUCCGGGGCUUAACCCCGGAUCUGCGGUGGGUACGGGCAGACUAGAGUGCAGUAGGGGAGACUGGAAUUCCUGGUGUAGCGGUGGAAUGCGCAGAUAUCAGGAGGAACACCGAUGGCGAAGGCAGGUCUCUGGGCUGUAACUGACGCUGAGGAGCGAAAGCAUGGGGAGCGAACAGGAUUAGAUACCCUGGUAGUCCAUGCCGUAAACGUUGGGCACUAGGUGUGGGGACCAUUCCACGGUUUCCGCGCCGCAGCUAACGCAUUAAGUGCCCCGCCUGGGGAGUACGGCCGCAAGGCUAAAACUCAAAGGAAUUGACGGGGCCCGCACAAGCGGCGGAGCAUGCGGAUUAAUUCGAUGCAACGCGAAGAACCUUACCAAGGCUUGACAUGUUCUCGAUCGCCGUAGAGAUACGGUUUCCCCUUUGGGGCGGGUUCACAGGUGGUGCAUGGUUGUCGUCAGCUCGUGUCGUGAGAUGUUGGGUUAAGUCCCGCAACGAGCGCAACCCUCGUUCCAUGUUGCCAGCACGUCGUGGUGGGGACUCAUGGGAGACUGCCGGGGUCAACUCGGAGGAAGGUGAGGACGACGUCAAAUCAUCAUGCCCCUUAUGUCUUGGGCUUCACGCAUGCUACAAUGGCCGGUACAAUGGGUUGCGAUACUGUGAGGUGGAGCUAAUCCCAAAAAGCCGGUCUCAGUUCGGAUUGGGGUCUGCAACUCGACCCCAUGAAGUCGGAGUCGCUAGUAAUCGCAGAUCAGCAACGCUGCGGUGAAUACGUUCCCGGGCCUUGUACACACCGCCCGUCAAAC
rnacentral:rRNA from 1 species